rnacentral:rRNA from 1 species
UACGGAGGGUGCAAGCGUUGUUCGGAAUUAUUGGGCGUAAAGCGUGUCUCGGUGGAUUGGUAAGUCAGGUGUGAAAGAUCCAGGCUCAACCUGGAAAUUGCGCUUGAUACUGCUAGUCUUGAGUUGGGGAGGGAUGAGCGGAAUUCCUGGUGUAGCAGUGAAAUGCGUAGAGAUCAGGAGGAACACCGGUGGCGAAAGCGGCUCAUUGGCCCUACACUGACACUCAAGCACGAAAGCGUGGGUAGCAAACAGG